UUAAGCGACUAAGCGUACACGGUGGAUGCCCUGGCAGUCAGAGGCGAUGAAGGACGUGCUAAUCUGCGAUAAGCGUCGGUAAGGUGAUAUGAACCGUUAUAACCGGCGAUUUCCGAAUGGGGAAACCCAGUGUGAUUCGUCACACUAUCAUUAACUGAAUCCAUAGGUUAAUGAGGCGAACCGGGGGAACUGAAACAUCUAAGUACCCCGAGGAAAAGAAAUCAACCGAGAUUCCCCCAGUAGCGGCGAGCGAACGGGGAGCAGCCCAGAGCCUGAAUCAGUGUGUGUGUUAGUGGAAGCGUCUGGAAAGGCGCGCGAUACAGGGUGACAGCCCCGUACACAAAAAUGCACAUACUGUGAGCUCGAUGAGUAGGGCGGGACACGUGGUAUCCUGUCUGAAUAUGGGGGGACCAUCCUCCAAGGCUAAAUACUCCUGACUGACCGAUAGUGAACCAGUACCGUGAGGGAAAGGCGAAAAGAACCCCGGCGAGGGGAGUGAAAAAGAACCUGAAACCGUGUACGUACAAGCAGUGGGAGCACAGAGCAAUCUGUGUGACUGCGUACCUUUUGUAUAAUGGGUCAGCGACUUAUAUUCUGUAGCAAGGUUAACCGAAUAGGGGAGCCGAAGGGAAACCGAGUCUUAACUGGGCGUUAAGUUGCAGGGUAUAGACCCGAAACCCGGUGAUCUAGCCAUGGGCAGGUUGAAGGUUGGGUAACACUAACUGGAGGACCGAACCGACUAAUGUUGAAAAAUUAGCGGAUGACUUGUGGCUGGGGGUGAAAGGCCAAUCAAACCGGGAGAUAGCUGGUUCUCCCCGAAAGCUAUUUAGGUAGCGCCUCGUGAAUUCAUCUCCGGGGGUAGAGCACUGUUUCGGCAAGGGGGUCAUCCCGACUUACCAACCCGAUGCAAACUGCGAAUACCGGAGAAUGUUAUCACGGGAGACACACGGCGGGUGCUAACGUCCGUCGUGAAGAGGGAAACAACCCAGACCGCCAGCUAAGGUCCCAAAGUCAUGGUUAAGUGGGAAACGAUGUGGGAAGGCCCAGACAGCCAGGAUGUUGGCUUAGAAGCAGCCAUCAUUUAAAGAAAGCGUAAUAGCUCACUGGUCGAGUCGGCCUGCGCGGAAGAUGUAACGGGGCUAAACCAUGCACCGAAGCUGCGGCAGCGACGCUGAUGCGUUGUUGGGUAGGGGAGCGUUCUGUAAGCCUGUGAAGGUGUACUGUGAGGUAUGCUGGAGGUAUCAGAAGUGCGAAUGCUGACAUAAGUAACGAUAAAGCGGGUGAAAAGCCCGCUCGCCGGAAGACCAAGGGUUCCUGUCCAACGUUAAUCGGGGCAGGGUGAGUCGACCCCUAAGGCGAGGCCGAAAGGCGUAGUCGAUGGGAAACAGGUUAAUAUUCCUGUACUUGGUGUUACUGCGAAGGGGGGACGGAGAAGGCUAUGUUGGCCGGGCGACGGUUGUCCCGGUUUAAGCGUGUAGGCUGGUUUUCCAGGCAAAUCCGGAAAAUCAAGGCUGAGGCGUGAUGACGAGGCACUACGGUGCUGAAGCAACAAAUGCCCUGCUUCCAGGAAAAGCCUCUAAGCAUCAGGUAACAUCAAAUCGUACCCCAAACCGACACAGGUGGUCAGGUAGAGAAUACCAAGGCGCUUGAGAGAACUCGGGUGAAGGAACUAGGCAAAAUGGUGCCGUAACUUCGGGAGAAGGCACGCUGAUAUGUAGGUGAAGUCCCUCGCGGAUGGAGCUGAAAUCAGUCGAAGAUACCAGCUGGCUGCAACUGUUUAUUAAAAACACAGCACUGUGCAAACACGAAAGUGGACGUAUACGGUGUGACGCCUGCCCGGUGCCGGAAGGUUAAUUGAUGGGGUCAGCGCAAGCGAAGCUCUUGAUCGAAGCCCCGGUAAACGGCGGCCGUAACUAUAACGGUCCUAAGGUAGCGAAAUUCCUUGUCGGGUAAGUUCCGACCUGCACGAAUGGCGUAAUGAUGGCCAGGCUGUCUCCACCCGAGACUCAGUGAAAUUGAACUCGCUGUGAAGAUGCAGUGUACCCGCGGCAAGACGGAAAGACCCCGUGAACCUUUACUAUAGCUUGACACUGAACAUUGAGCCUUGAUGUGUAGGAUAGGUGGGAGGCUUAGAAGUGUGGACGCCAGUCUGCAUGGAGCCGACCUUGAAAUACCACCCUUUAAUGUUUGAUGUUCUAACGUUGACCCGUGAUCCGGGUUGCGGACAGUGUCUGGUGGGUAGUUUGACUGGGGCGGUCUCCUCCUAAAGAGUAACGGAGGAGCACGAAGGUUGGCUAAUCCUGGUCGGACAUCAGGAGGUUAGUGCAAUGGCAUAAGCCAGCUUGACUGCGAGCGUGACGGCGCGAGCAGGUGCGAAAGCAGGUCAUAGUGAUCCGGUGGUUCUGAAUGGAAGGGCCAUCGCUCAACGGAUAAAAGGUACUCCGGGGAUAACAGGCUGAUACCGCCCAAGAGUUCAUAUCGACGGCGGUGUUUGGCACCUCGAUGUCGGCUCAUCACAUCCUGGGGCUGAAGUAGGUCCCAAGGGUAUGGCUGUUCGCCAUUUAAAGUGGUACGCGAGCUGGGUUUAGAACGUCGUGAGACAGUUCGGUCCCUAUCUGCCGUGGGCGCUGGAGAACUGAGGGGGGCUGCUCCUAGUACGAGAGGACCGGAGUGGACGCAUCACUGGUGUUCGGGUUGUCAUGCCAAUGGCACUGCCCGGUAGCUAAAUGCGGAAGAGAUAAGUGCUGAAAGCAUCUAAGCACGAAACUUGCCCCGAGAUGAGUUCUCCCUGACUCCUUGAGAGUCCUGAAGGAACGUUGAAGACGACGACGUUGAUAGGCCGGGUGUGUAAGCGCAGCGAUGCGUUGAGCUAACCGGUACUAAUGAACCGUGAGGCUUAACCUU
rnacentral:rRNA from 1 species